rnacentral:rRNA from 1 species
GACAGAGGGUGCAAACGUUGUUCGGAAUUACUGGGCGUAAAGCGCGUGUAGGCGGCUCGGAAAGUCGGGUGUGAAAGCCCUGGGCUCAACCUAGGAAGUGCACUCGAAACUUCCGAGCUGGAGUUCUGGAGAGGAAGGCGGAAUUCUCGGUGUAGAGGUGAAAUUCGUAGAUAUCGAGAGGAACACCGGUGGCGAAGGCGGCCUUCUGGACAGCAACUGACGCUGAGACGCGAAAGCGUGGGGAGCAAACAGG